GGGGGCGAAAAGGGUUCGACGGGGACAGUUGAGGUCAGAGUUGCGUGCCGAGGUUCCUAUCUCCUCGUAAAACAGGUAGGGUUCAAAGAUAGUCGCCGACAAUUACGACUACGCUCUGGCCGCGUAAGGCCACGUCUCUCCGGUCAGGCCCGCAGGGCCGGAAGGGGCGUCGGGAAGCGGGCUGGCCGAAUCUCCCUAGCCCUGGGGAGAGGAGGCGAGAUCUCGUGGGGCUGGUCUCCAGGGAAUCCCUCUCCCGGGAGUCUCUGGAGACGAGAGAAAAACGGGAGAUACGCACGUAGACGCUCUGGCUGAAGGUUUCCGGACGGGGGUUCGAUUCCCCCCGCCUCCACCA
rnacentral:tmRNA from 1 species